ACGCGAUGGCCGUAGUACCGGGCGGUCGCGGCCUUCGACGCCACCGUCAACUGCGUCAGGCGGCGGUUCCACUCCGCGAUCGCGUC
rnacentral:tRNA from 1 species